rnacentral:piRNA from 1 species
AAGAAGGAAGAACAGGUGGGGGGGAGC